UGGCGGACGGGUGAGUAAUGUCUGGGAAACUGCCUGAUGGAGGGGGAUAACUACUGGAAACGGUAGCUAAUACCGCAUAACGUCGCAAGACCAAAGAGGGGGACCUUAGGGCCUCUUGCCAUCGGAUGUGCCCAGAUGGGAUUAGCUAGUAGGUGGGGUAAGGGCUCACCUAGGCGACGAUCCCUAGCUGGUCUGAGAGGAUGACCAGCCACACUGGAACUGAGACACGGUCCAG
rnacentral:rRNA from 1 species